rnacentral:tRNA from 1 species
GAGCCUUUAGCUCAGUGGUAGAGCGUUACAUUGACAUUGUAAAGGCCGGUGGUUCAAUCCCACCAAGGCUCA